rfam:Triticum aestivum genome assembly, contig: Triticum_aestivum_CS42_TGACv1_scaffold_434125_5DL
UAGCGGCCGUUGAGAUGAGAUUACCCCAUACCAUAUAGCGGCAGCUCGACUCCGCACACGCGUAGGGGGCAAUCUCACCUCAACAGCUUCUC